rnacentral:tRNA from 1 species
AGAGAUGUAGCUCAGUGGCACAGAGCCUGCCUGGCAAGCACAAGGUCCUGAGUUCAAUUCCCAGUAUCACCA